AUGCUGGUUCGUCAAGGAUUCUUUGCAUUCUUCAAUUGUUCUUCAAGAUUUCUCUUGAAGUUAAGAUCAGCCAAGCUAUACUCAAAAAUAAACAUGGUGCUCAACACAUGUUUUGUUUUGAGGAGUUCAAGCAUUCUUCAUCUUGCUAUCCGGAGUGCAAUUUCUUUCUACCGUAUCUUUGGAGGUGGUAUUAUGUCCUUCUUGAUAAUUCCCCUUCGUUGCUUCGUGAGUCACAAGUUUUCAAGAGUGACAUAUUUAAAUCCAUCUUUUUCUCUUUGUUCAAGAGAUCUUUUCAACCGUCAAUCUCUUCAUUGGAGUUAUCUUGGUAUAGAUUUCACCUAA
rnacentral:rRNA from 1 species